rfam:Octopus bimaculoides Scaffold2592_contig_48, whole genome shotgun sequence.
GCUUACGGCCAUAUCACAUUGAGAGCACCAGUUCUCGUCCAAUCACCGAAGUUAAGCAACGUCGAGCCUAGUGAGUACUUAGAUGGGUGACCGCUUGGGAAACCUAGGUGCUGUAAGCA